GCUAAACGCGAAGAACCUUACCUGGGUUUGAAAUGUUGGUGACAGGUGUGGAAACACAUCCUUCCUUCGGGACACCAUCACAGGUGGUGCAUGGCUGUCGUCAGCUCGUGUCGUGAGAUGUUGGGUUAAGUCCCGCAACGAGCGCAACCCUCGCCUUUAGUUGCCAUCAUUAAGUUGGGAACUCUAAGGAGACCGCCGGUGACAAACCGGAGGAAGGUGGGGAUGACGUCAAGUCAUCAUGGCCUUUAUGGCCAGGGCUACACACGUGCUACAAUGGCAGGUACAGAGGGAAGCCAACCAGCAAUGGGGAGCCAAUCCCAGAAAGCCUAUCUUAGUCCGGAUUGCAGUCUGCAACUCGACUGCAUGAAGUUGGAAUCGCUAGUAAUCGCAGAUCAGCAUUGCUGCGGUGAAUACGUUCCCGGGUCUUGUACACACCG
rnacentral:rRNA from 1 species